rnacentral:lncRNA from 1 species
CGAGUUAUGAAUUUCCUUUUAUAUUGCAUUUUAUUUAUACUUUACAUAGUGUCAUAAACUUGGUUCUUUUUACAUAAGAGAUAAGUAAUAUAAGCAUUAAGUCACAACAUCACAAAAAAGAAGAAGCAAAAAACAGAUGAAACAAGCUUGGCAUUAAGACACCACGCUCUUCCUCGUGACCAUCACCUCAUUUUCAUGUGCAUACUUGAUCAAACAACCUGCAAAAAGUACAUCACUAAAAGGUAAGUCAUCAUACUCAUACAAACAUGAACCAAAAGUAAAAGAUGAAAAACGUGAGCCAAAAGGCCAUACCACAUCAAACCUGCGCCAUGUAUCCAUACAUAAAGAAAAACCAAUGUAACAUCAAUGCAAAUUAUCAUAAAGGCAUGUGCCCAAGCAUACAUACAUGAGUACAAACAAAAAUUUCAAAGAAGGAGAGUGGAGCUAAGAGAAAUACGCACACAUACAUGCUCAAUACAACAUCUACCAUUCAUCAUACGUGUGCAGAAAAUGAAAACACACAAAAGCAUAAAUUGAAAUAUCUAAGCAAAAGUGUGUUACUAUUUUCCACUACACCCAAAUACCUUGAUUUCAGGGAUUGGAAGGAUGAGCUAUAACAAAAUGAUUCUAUCUAAUUUCCACCUCACCAAAUUCUCACACGAGCAAGCAUAAAUCACAACAAAGUUCCCACGCAUAUUUCACCUUAUUCCCCCCUAUAAAUUGACUAUCCCACUGCUUCAUAAAGGACACAAAAAAAACCUACAGAAAUGCUGCUAAAUGAUUCCAUAAACCACACCAAAGCUCAUACCCUAUAAAAACUACUCAGAGUUUCUAAUUGGAACCCUAAGUUAGUUGAGCUAAACCUUAACCUCACUACAACGUAAUAGAAGUAAAAAAAACCAACAAUGAUUCCAAAAGAAGUAGAAGAAAUAUAAGGCGUAAAGUAAAAGGAGACGAGAAGUAAUUGUGUACCUGUGAACUGUUUUCUCUAGUAACGUCUGGACGAUAUAUUUCUUGCAGCUAAACUCUAUUUGCUAGCCUUUUUAAGUUGUUGAGUAUUAUGGCUGCCUCAUGUACAUGUGAACUGGACAUUGUUGUAGUUGUUGUAGUGUUUGAUUUCUUUGAUGUGUAGCUGGAUUUUGCUUAAGAUGUGUUUCUUCAUGUUUGAUUUCGUUUUUUAGGUGAGUUUGUGUGAUGUACCUUCAGAUUUGAUAGAGAGAGGGUUAGGGUUUAGAACCCUAAGGGUUUCAAUCCUUUAUUUUGAAGGGUUUGUGGUUGAAUUCGUUCUCGGAUUAAGGUUUAGGGAAGAAUUUGGUUUAUGGUUUGUGAUUGAAUUCGUUCUCAGAUUAAGGUUUAGGGAAGAAUUUGGUUUAGGGUUUGUGUUUAUGGAUUGAAGUUGUUCUGGCCGAUUUCUGGGUUUAGAGGGGCUCCGAUUGAGUUUCCCGGUUGAAACUCAACCGAAUUAUGGGUUUUGACAGUGGGCCUAGGGGUGGUCUAUGGCGGAGACCGAUGUUCCUGAUGAACACCGGUG